rnacentral:rRNA from 1 species
GACGAACGCUGGCGGCGUGCUUAACACAUGCAAGUCGAACGGAAAGGCCCUGCUUUUGUGGGGUGCUCGAGUGGCGAACGGGUGAGUAACACGUGAGUAACCUGCCCUUGACUUUGGGAUAACUUCAGGAAACUGGGGCUAAUACCGGAUAGGAGCUCCUGCUGCAUGGUGGGGGUUGGAAAGUUUCGGCGGUUGGGGAUGGACUCGCGGCUUAUCAGCUUGUUGGUGGGGUAGUGGCUUACCAAGGCUUUGACGGGUAGACGGCCUGAGAGGGUGACCGGCCACAUUGGGACUGAGAGACGGACCAGACUCCUACGGGAGGCAGCAGUGGGGAAUAUUGCACAAUGGGCGGAAGCCUGAUGCAGCAACGCCGCGUGCGGGAUGACGGCCUUCGGGUUGUAAACCGCUUUCGCCUGUGACGAACCGUGAUUGACGGUAAUGAGUAAAGAAGCACCGGCUAACUACGUG